rnacentral:lncRNA from 1 species
GCCAGGGAUGGACACAGCCUGGUACCCAUUUCCUCAGCAGGCUGCUGUGCAGGGCCUGGCUCGCAGCGGCAGGGGCUCCUCCUGGCCGGGCAUUUCUUGGCUGUCAAGGGCAGAUUUGGGCCACCCGGGGCUCAGCUCGGCUGGGAAGGGCAGCACGGCCCCUGCAUGGGGAGCUGCAGGGCGGGGAGAGGGGGUGAGGGCUGCCUCCCACCCACCCCAGGGCCAGGAGGAGCCCACGCAGCACAGCAGCGCCUUCCCUCGCCUUCCUGCUGCCCAGCUCCAGGGCUGCAGAGCCCUUCCCUGGGGAGCUGCUGUGCUGGAGGCCGGCCCCGGCUCGCUCCUCUCGCUGCAGCGAGGAGCCCACCCCGCUCCGCACCAGCUCCUGCAGAGGCCUCGUCCUGCCCUGGCUCCACCGCGAUACCUGGGGAGGGGGAGCCGGGCACAGGGUGCUCGGGGCCGCUCCCAGAGCCCAACCCUGGGGCGCAGCCGGAGUCUGUGGCUUGUGCCGGGGCUGGGGGGGGCCAUGUGCUGUGGGUUGUUUGCACAGAGCUGAGACAGAGCCCUCCCGGGGGGGAGCUGAGGAUGCGCUGUCUGGAGAGCCUGGCCCGCGUCCAGGCAGCAAGGCUGUUCCUGGCAGGCAGCGAGGAGCACAGGGACGUGCCAGGCUGCGGGGGCACGGCCGGGGGGGGGGGGGGGGGGGGGGGGGGGCAGCUGCCCUCCCCUGUGCUGGGCAGGGGCAGUUGCCUUGAGGGGCGCCCACGCAGCCCCUGCCCGGUGCCGGUGCCUGGCAGGCUGUGCCCCAGCAGGCUGCUCGGGGGCAGCAGCGCCCACCCCACAUCAGGCCGGGGGCUGAGCCAGCCUCGAGCGUGGCAGAGGGGCCCGGCCCCCCCCCGGCUGUGCAGAGAAGGAGCCCUCUGCGUGCAGCCCCCGGGGCUCCCAGUGGCCCUGGAGGGGGGGCGCAGCGCUGCUCAGCUCCCUGCUCCCCCCACCCUGCCUCUGAGUCACUGUUUUCCCGACAGCUUUGUGAAGCUGAUCAACACCGCUAAAAAUAAUUUCCGCCUGGCUCUGAACCGCAGCCA